rnacentral:rRNA from 1 species
UUUGGACAAUGGGGGAAACCCUGAUCCAGCCAUCCCGCGUGGAGGAUGAAGGCCUUCGGCUUGGAAAGUACUUUUGGCAGUGAAGAAAAGGUAACUCCUAAUACGAGAUACUGUUGACGGUAUCUGCUGAAUAAGCACCGGCUAAUUACGUGCCAGCAGCCGCGGUAAUACGUAGGGUGCAAGCGUUAAUCGGAAUUACUGGGCGUAAAGCGUGUGUAGGCGGUUCGGAAAGAAAGAUGUGAAAUCCCAGGGCUCAACCUUGGAACUGCAUUUUUAACUGCCGAGCUAGAGUAUGGCAGAGGGGGGUAGAAUUCCACGUGUAGCAGUGAAAUGCGUAGAUAUGUGGAGGAAUACCGAUGGCGAAGGCAGCCCCCUGGGAUAAUACUGACGCUCAGACACGAAAGCGUGGGGAGCAAACA